UGGGGAAUAUUGGACAAUGGGCGAAAGCCUGAUCCAGCCAUGCCGCGUGUGUGAAGAAGGUCUUCGGAUUGUAAAGCACUUUAAGUUGGGAGGAAGGGCAGUAAGCGAAUACCUUGCUGUUUUGACGUUACCGACUGAAUAAGCACCGGCUAACUCUGUGCCAGAAGCCGCGGUAAUACAGAGGGUGCACGCGUUAAUCGGAAUUACUGGGCGUAAAGCGAGCGUAGGUGGUUCGUUAAGUUGAAUGUGAAAGCCCCGGGCUCAACCUGGGAACUGCAUCCAAAACUGGCGAGCUAGAGUAGGGCAUGGGGUGGUGUAAUUUCCUGUGUAGCGGUGAAAUGCAUAAAUAUAGGAAGGAACACCAGUGGCGAAGGCGACCACCUGGGCUCAUACUGACACUGAGGUGCGAAAGCGUGGGGAGCAAACAGG
rnacentral:rRNA from 1 species